AAAAUUAAUCAUGAUGAUGGAGCGGCAACAAGUUGACACCUCAACAUGCACAAGUCAGGUUCACCCUCACUAUGCUCGGAGCCUUGAUGAUCAACCCCUGCCUUGAGUUCAUCAUUUUGUAAGUUUUCUUAAAACAUUUCUUAAGUUUGGUUUGUAGUUUCCUUGACAAGAAUUUAUGCAAUGCAAUAGAAAGACAUGGAGAGGUUGAGUCAUUUAUGUAUUACUCACAUUGCAUGCAUGACUCUUUGCAUGUUUUUAUCUUCUUGGCAGUGUUGUGAUGAACAUGUUUUUAUCUUCUUGGUAGUGUUAUGAUGUGCAUGUUUUUAUCUUCUUGGUAGUGUUGUGAUGAGUGAGUGUGUUCAUGCAGUAAAAGUUCGUGAUAUAAGCAAGGGAAAAAUGAUUGCAAUUUUGGGUAAGUAUCUUAUUGGCAGUGUGUUCAUGCAGUAUCUCUCAUUUUUCUGUUUUGGGAAAAUAUUGCAAUUUUGUGAGGUACAUAGAUAUAUAUGUUCUCUUCUAAUCCUCUGUGAAGACAGACACACUAGGUUGUGACAUCUAUCUUUGCUUAAAACAUUUGGCAAGUGUCAUUGCCUUUCAAUGUUCAAUCACAAACUUCUUCAUUUUGGUGUAAUUAGAUUCAUUGUGGAAAUCAUCCAAAAAUUAGAAAUGGUAUUGUUUUAUAUUUGGAUUAUGCAUGGAUCUGUUUUGUAUCCUAAGCAUGUUGUGUUGUGGUGUGUUAUGAUGAAUGAAUUUGAAUUUGUUUGAGCAUUAUAGACCGAACAUGUCCUGCCGCGUAGGACUGAGUGUUGUUUUUAUCCCAAAAUUUGAAACCCUACGCAGAAUAUAAGGUCAUGGGAUCUUCAAUAGCUGAUGAGCUAGUUUUCAUUCAAAACAGCAUAAAAGAGACGAUGAAUAGAAAACACCUUCUACUGGUUUAUCAGCCAAGUUGCAGUCCAGCAACAAAAAUGAACAACGAAGUAUAGUUAAAUCCUUUCUUUCUUUCAAAAAUUCGCAGUACAGGUCUAUCGAACACAUGAUUGAUUGCAAGUACCGAAGCAAGGUUCCUCAGUUAUUCUACCAUAUAUCCAUUUUGCAUUCACACGAUUCUUCGCAAGUAUUUCUUAUAGGGCACUACUCACAUUGUACUCCUACAGGUAUUGAAUUCUUGUUUACUGGUAUAGGAAGUGUAUAAAGUCUUCAGUUUUCUUCAUUGUGUUAUUGGGACUGGGAGUUCUGAUUCCAAAUGUCUGGGUGUGGUGCAUCUAGCUUGAUAUAUGUCGAAUCAUAGGUGCCUUCAUGGUAAAUAGAGUGUGUAAAAAUUAAAUGAAAAAUCCACAUUCAAACAAAACAACUAUUUAUUUUCAUACAAUCUCAUCAUGUUAUUCAUAUAUAUACUCAUGCAUGGAUACUUAUUAAAUUCAUCUAUACUCAAAAAUUAUGUUUGGUUAUGUGUAUUUUUUUGAAAAUGGUGCUUAAAUUUAUAAGAUCUAUAACAUUUCUUUCUCUUGGUAAUUUAUGAUAUGAGUAAAAAAAGUUACAGCAUCAUUAAACUAAUAUUUUAGCAGAAGUUCAGUCAUUUAUGUAGAUCUCCUAAAUUUAAAGUUUAUUCAAUGAACCUAUGUUGGUGAUGAACCUAAAUUAAA
rnacentral:lncRNA from 1 species